CGCCGAGGUUUGCCUGGCUCCCUCUGCUCCCCUCCCCUCUGCUCCCUGCUGAUGGAUGUCGAUCCUGCUCUGGAAUGACACAGCUGGUGGCUUAAGGAGGCAUCACCAUCCCUGGAGAAGGAGGAGAAAUCACAGACUCCAAAAGAUGUCGGGACAGGGCUCUUGCACCUUGGUGACUGUGUCAACCAGAUUCAGUGGUGGGUACAAGCAGUGAGGACACCAGCUCCAGUCCCCGUCCCUCUGCUGUCCCCGGAACUGCUGUGGCAGGAUUCUCCAGGCUGGGUUAAAGACUCAGUGAAAUCUAUUUUGUAACAGACAGACGAGGAGCAACUUCCACAGAGACCUACUGCACCAACUCAUGAAGUCAGCAAGCCUGAAGGAAUCACAUCGCCUUGAAGCCACCGCAAGGACACGGAAAGUGGUUGAAAACAUAACUCAGCCUCCUCAGCGAGCACCUGGCUGUGCCCUCACCCAGAGGAGACUGUGGAAAGCCCACAGAAUGGAGAUACAGAGACGGACCCAAAGACAUAGUCAACGAGAAGCUGCUGAGGAACACGAGGGUCCCUGUACAUCCCCUGAGGACUGAUGGAGGAAUCCAAGGAUGCCAAAACUCGUCCCUUCAGCAGUGCCAGUUUUUGUCCCCACAUUCAACCAGAGGACAGGAGACUUCCCUUCGCAACAGAGGUAAAGGCAUGGGGAUAAGCCUGGUGAGGCAGGAGAGUAGAAUGGAUUAAUCCCAUCCCCAACGCUCAACUGCCCAGUGAAUUGAGGGUGGACACAAGACCCAGCACCCUCAUGCCACUCCUGGCAUGUGAAUCCCACCAGCACCUGGAAGAAGGAGAUGUCCUGCACACACUUUGCUGGGGCUAGGGCUGGAAACAAUUCCCUAGCUGAUUCAUUAUCCUAGAGUCCCUCUCUAAUUGUUUUAAAUGAAGAGAGUUUUCAUGUCACUUACAUGUUCACAUACCAUACAUGGACCUGUUGGAGUGCGUCCAGAGGAGGGCCACGAAGAGGAUCAGAGGGCUGGAGCACUUCUCCUAUGAAGAGAGGCUGAGAGAGUUGGGGUUGUUCAGCCUUGAGACGAGAAGGUGCCGGGGAGACUUUAUAGAAGCCUUCCAGUACCUAAAGGGACUACAUGAAAGCUGGAGAGGGACUUUUUACAAGGACAUGUCGUAAUAGGAUGGGGGUAAUGGCUUCAAACUGGAAGAAGAUAGAUUUAGAUUAAUUAGGAAAGAGCUCUUUACUGUGAGAGUGGUGAGACACCAGAACAGGUUGCCCAGAGAAGCUGUGGCUGCCCCAUCCCUGGAGGGGUUCAAGGCCAGGCUGGAUGGGGCUUUGAGCCAACCUGGUCUGGUGGGAGGUGUCCCUGCCCAGGGCAGGGGGGUUGGAACUCAAUGAUCUUUAAGGUUCUUUCCAACCCAAACCAUUCUGUGUUAAAGGGAAAAAAACCUUACUCUACCCCUGCACAUGCACAUGCAAGGGGAAAACAGGGAGGGCAGUGCAAUUGAUAAAGGAAAGGUGGCUGUGACUCUUCU